rnacentral:rRNA from 1 species
AGGACGAACGCUGGCGGCGUGCUUCAUACAUGCAAGUCGAACGAGAAAUCUACUUCGGUAGAUGGAAAGUGGCGGACGGGUGAGUAAUAUGUAGAGAAUCUGCCCUAGAGAGGGGGACAACCGUUGGAAACGACAGCUAAUACCCCAUAUGAGCGUACCUGAAAUGGUAUUCUUGAAAACUCCGGUGCUCUGGGAUGAGUCUGCAUCUGAUUAGCUAGUUGGGGGUGUAAUGGACCACCAAGGCGACGAUCAGUAGCUGGUUUGAGAGGAUGAUCAGCCACAAUGGGACUGAGACACGGCCCAUACUCCUACGGGAGGCAGCAGUAGGGAAUUUUGCGCAAUGGGCGAAAGCCUGACGCAGCCAACGCCGCGUGAUCGAGACGCUUUUCGGAGUGUAAAGAUCUGUCACAGGGGACGAACGAUGACGGUACCCUGAGAGGAAGCACCGGCUAACUCCGUGCCAGCCGCAGC